AAUAAAUGCAAAUAAAUUUUAUUAUUUAGAGUUAAAAUGUUGAUUUAAUUUAUAAUUUAAUUUAUUAGGUUAAAUUUUAAAUUAAAAAAAUUAUUAAUAAAAAGUUUUUUUUAAGCUUGUAAAUUUUGUUAAUAAACUAGGAUUAGAUACCCUAUUAUAAAAAAUGUAAAUAUAAAAAAUAGAGUAGUAUUAGUUAUAUUCUUAAAACUUAAUAAAUUUGGCGGUAUUUUAAUCUAUUCAGAGGAACUUGUUUUAUAAUUGAUAAUCCUCGUUUAAUCUUACUUAAUUUAAUUAAUUUGUAUACCAUCGUCAUAAGAAUCUCUUAAAAAAGAAAAAAUUUUCUCAAUAAAAAAUUAUUUAAUAUGUCAGAUCAAGGUGCAGUUUAUAGUUAAGAAAAAAUGAGUUACAAUAAAUAUAUUUAAACGAAUUUUAAAUUUUAAUAUUUAAAUGAAGGUGGAUUUGAUAGUAAAAUAAAUAAUUGAGUUUAUUUGAUUAUAGUUCUAAAAUAUGCACAUAUCGCCCGUCGCUCUCGUUAUUUAAAAUGAG
rnacentral:rRNA from 1 species